rnacentral:tRNA from 1 species
GGGCGCAUAGCUCAGUUGGUUAGAGCGCACGGUUCACAUCCGUGAGGUCCUAGGUUCGAGUCCUUGUGCGCCCA